CCUGAGAAACGGCUACCACAUCCAAGGAAGGCAGCAGGCGCGCAAAUUACCCACUCCCGGCACGGGGAGGUAGUGACGAAAAAUAACGAUACGGGACUCAUCCGAGGCCCCGUAAUCGGAAUGAGUACACUUUAAAUCCUUUAACGAGGAUCUAUUAGAGGGCCAGUCUGGUGCCAGCAGCCGCGGUAAUUCCAGCUCUAAUAGCGUAUAUUAAAGUUGUUGCGGUUAAAAAGCUCGUAGUUGAAUCUGUGUCCCGCACUGUCGGUUCACCGCUCGCGGUGUUCAACUGGCAUGUCUGUGGGACGUCCUGCCGGUGGGUUUAGCCCGUCAAAAGGCGACCCAACUAAAAUCCUACCACGGUGCUCUUUACCGAGUGUCGAGGUGGGCCGGCACGUUUACUUUGAACAAAUUAGAGUGCUUAAAGCAGGCUCAUUCGCCUGAAUAUUGUGUGCAUGGAAUAAUGGAAUAGGACCUCGGUUCUAUUUUGUUGGUUUUCGGAAUGCCGAGGUAAUGAUUAAUAGGGACAACUGGGGGCAUUCGUAUUGCGACGUUAGAGGUGAAAUUCUUGGAUCGUCGCAAGACGAACAGAAGCGAAAGCAUUUGCCAAAUGUGUUUUCAUCAAUCAAGAACGAAAGUUAGAGGUUCGAAGGCGAUCAGAUACCGCCCUAGUUCUAACCAUAAACGAUGCCAGCUAGCGAUCCGCCGAAGUUCCUCCGAUGACUCGGCGGGCAGCUUCCGGGAAACCAAAGCAUUUGGGUUCCGGGGGAAGUAUGGUUGCAAAGCUGAAACUUAAAGGAAUUGACGGAAGGGCACCACCAGGAGUGGAGCCUGCGGCUUAAUUUGACUCAACACGGGAAACCUCACCAGGCCCAGACACCGGAAGGAUUGACAGAUUGAGAGCUCUUUCUUGAUUCGGUGGGUGGUGGUGCAUGGCCGUUCUUAGUUGGUGGAGCGAUCUGUCUGGUUAAUUCUGAUAACGAGCGAGACUCUAGCCUGCUAAAUAGGCGUACUUUCCGGUAUCUCGAAGGCCCGCCGGCUCGGCUUCGGUCGUUGUCGUGUGUGGUUUUUACUACCGGCGUACACAUAAAUCUUCUUAGAGGGAUAGGUGGCGCUUAGUCGCACGAAAUUGAGCAAUAACAGGUCUGUGAUGC
rnacentral:rRNA from 1 species